rnacentral:rRNA from 1 species
UUGAUGGCGAGUGGCGGACGGGUGAGUAAUGCAUAGGAAUCUACCCAGUAGCGGGGGACAACUUAGGGAAACUUAAGCUAAUACCGCAUACGCCCUACGGGGGAAAGCAGGGGAUCUUCGGACCUCGCGCUAUUGGAUGAGCCUGCGUAGGAUUAGCUUGUUGGUGAGGUAAAGGCUCACCAAGGCGACGAUCCUUAGCUGGUCUGAGAGGAUGAUCAGCCACACCGGGACUGAGACACGGCCCGGACUCC